AUUGAACGCUGGCGGCAUGCCUUACACAUGCAAGUCGAACGGCAGCACGGGAGCAAUCCUGGUGGCGAGUGGCGAACGGGUGAGUAAUGUAUCGGAACGUGCCCAGUCGUGGGGGAUAACGCAGCGAAAGCUGUGCUAAUACCGCAUACGAUCUAUGGAUGAAAGCGGGGGAUCGCAAGACCUCGCGCGAUUGGAGCGGCCGAUAUCAGAUUAGCUAGUUGGUGGGGUAAAAGCUUACCAAGGCGACGAUCUGUAGCUGGUCUGAGAGGACGACAAGCAACACUGGAACUGAGACACGGUCCAGACUCCUACGGGAGGCAGCAGUGGGGAAUUUUGGACAAGGGGCGCAAGCCUGAUCCAGCAAUGCCGCGUGCAGGAUGAAGGCCUUCGGGUUGUAAACUGCUUUUGUACGGAGCGAAAAGGCUCUCUCUAAUACAGGGGGCUCAUGACGGUACCGUAAGAAUAAGCACCGGCUAACUACGUGCCAGCAGCCGCGGUAA
rnacentral:rRNA from 1 species